UGGAGCGCAGGAGGAUGAGGGGUGGUCUUAUAGAGGUGUACAGGAUCAUGAGAGGAAUAGAUCAGAUAAAGGCACAGAGUCUUUUGCCCAGAGUAGGGUAAUAGAGAACCACAAGACAUAGGUUACCUGAGGGGUGGAAGAUUUAAUAAUAA